GCCUCUUGAUUAAACCAUAAGAGGUCCAGCCUGCCCAGUGACAUUGUUCAACGGCCGCGGUAUCCUAACCGUGCGAAGGUAGCGUAAUCACUUGUCCUUUAAAUGAAGACUAGUAUGAAUGGCCCCACGAAAGCUAUACUGUCUCCUUUUUCUAAUCAGUUAAACUAAUCUCCCCGUGAAGAAGCGGGGAUAAACAUAUAAGACGAGAAGACCCUAUGGAGCUUUAAACAACUGAAACACUUGUAUAUCUCCCUUCACCUACCCACAUUUAACUCCACAUCUUGUUUCUAGUUUUAGGUUGGGGUGACCACGGAGAAAAAACUAACCUCCACGAUGAAAGAGACAUCUCUAAACAAAAAGCUACAUCUUUAUGUAUUAAUACAUUAACCUUUAUUGACCCAAUAAAUUGAUCAACGAACCAAG
rnacentral:rRNA from 1 species